CCCCCCAGGGUUUUCCCAGCCUGUUUCUGUUUCUGUUUACUUGUGUGUGUGUCUCUGGGCGUGUCCCCCUCUGGGUUGUGCACAAGCAGGCUCUAGGUGUGUCCCAGCUCAGAGCAGCUCCGCCAGCGGGGUGUUUCUCCCCUGCAGGGAAAUUCCAGGGGGCAGAGCCGGCCUCAGCUGCGCUCAGACUCGCCCCGCAGCCAUACAGCUGGCCAGUUUCCCCAAGCACGACUGCUCCUCCAGACAAGGUAGAGGGCGGAAUGUGUGAGCUUUUCUCCUGGAGAGGGCACCCCCCCUCCCCCGUGUCUUCUGGCCCUGUGGAAUUGGGAGGUACAGAGGAAUGGAAGAAACCCACCACCCUAACUCACAUUCGGAACCUGGGGCCCCCAUGUGCGCGCUCCACUGACGCCACCCCCAGAAAGGAUCAUGGAGAGGAGGCCACGUGCUCAGCUGAGAUGGGAACCGACCUAGUCCCGGUUCACUGGCUGGUGGAAACUCAGGCAAGAGAAGGAAUGAUUAAGGGAACAUGCAGGAGGAACAGCAAUGAGACAUCAUCCUAAUUCCGCCUCUGCUGGGGGGACUACCCCGCUCCUUCUGCCCUUGCUGGAGUUCCCUGUGCCAGUCUCAGGAAUGCUGAACCAAACCCCUAGACCCUGAGCACCCUCAACCAGCCUGGCCUUUGGACAAGGAGAAGAGGAGCAUUCAUACUGAAGGGAUCCAGAAUCUCUCACUGUGAGUGGUUUCUCCCAUACUCCCAGUAUCUAAAAGCAGAGUCUCCCGGAAGGAUUCAGCUGUCACCAGUCUCCUCCUCAGGAGAUGGGCUCUUUCCACUGGAGAGAAAUCUGCUUUGGAGUAAGAAAUCACAUAAGCAGGUAUUGUCACAAGACUACCAUAUUUCCUAUCUAUUUUCCUAAGGGCCUACUUAUCUUUCCUAAAAGCCAUUUGAUGGGACACCUGGGUGGCUCAGUCGGUUAAGCAUCUGACUCAUGGCUUCACCUCAGGGCAUGAUCUCAUGGUUUUGUGAGUUGGAGCGCCCUCGUCGGGCUCUGCACCAACCGUGCGGAGCCUGCUUGGGAUUCUCUCUCUCUCCCUCUAUCCUGCCCCUCCCCUGCUCAUGCUGUCUCUGUCUCUCUCAAAAUAAAUAAAUAACAUUGAUAAAUAAAUAAAUAAAAUCCAUUUGUUUUCCUGUAAAUGCCCUUCUCCCCCUCCCCUUCCCCUAUUAGGGUGGUAUAGAAGCCCCAAAUUCUAACCACCUCCUUGAAUUUCAUUUUUCUGUGAACUCACAUGUAUGUAUAUGAAUUUUAAAAUAUCUCUUCUUUUGCAAAUCUGUGUU